rnacentral:lncRNA from 1 species
UGAAGUCUCAGUGCUGGGAGCCAGCCCUGGGCAAACAGGCGGCUGGAGAGUAAGUCACCUCCCUCCUCUUCUCCUCGCAGAGCUGUAUGCCCAUUACCUGAGGGGACGGAAUCCAAGCAUGGGUCAACAAUAAGGCAACAGCCAAGGAAGACUUCACACAGUAGGGACGUUUAGUUGAGUCUUAAAAGAGCUCCCCUGAGACCAGGCUUUCACCUGAGAGAGGAAACGAAAGAAAGAUGUCCUCUUGGAGGAAGGCAGUGAGGAGUGUCAUAGGUCACUUUCUGGGAUGCGCAGGAUCAGAUAACAGACACUCAGC